CCCUUAGAUGUUCUGGGCCGCACGCGCGCUACACUGAUGCAUUCAACGAGCCUAUCCUUGACCGACAGGUCCGGGUAAUCUUUGAAUCUGCAUCGUGACGGGGAUAGAUUAUUGCAAUUAUUAAUCUUCAACGAGGAAUGCCUAGUAGGCGCAAGUCAUCAGCUUGCGUCGAUAACGUCCCUGCCCUUUGUACACACCGCCCGUCGCUCCUACCGAUUGGGUGUGCUGGUGAAAUGUUCGGAUCGGCCGUUUGUCGCGGUUUCCGCGUCAUGUGGCUGAGAAGUUCAUUAAACCCUCCCACCUAGAGGAAGGAGAAGUCGUAACA
rnacentral:rRNA from 1 species